GCCUUUUGAGUGCAGUUGGUAGCACGUCAGUCUCAUAAUCUGAAGGUCCUGAGUUAAAUCCUCAGAGAAGGCA
rnacentral:tRNA from 1 species